rnacentral:misc_RNA from 1 species
UUUCCGUAGGUGAACCUGCGGAAGGAUCAUUAUUGAAUAACCAAGGUGCAAGGGCUGUGACUGUUCCGAAAUGUUGCGCACGCCCGAGUGCCCUCGCACACAUCCAUCUCACCCCUAUGUUCGCCACCGCGUGCGUCCGCGGUUAGCUUGUUUGGAGAGGAGUUUACGCUUUCACACACUCUGUGUUUGCAUCGUAGAAUGUCUUUGUUGUUUUUGCGAGCACGCAUUCAAUACAACUUUAACCAACGGAUCUCUUUGCUCUCGCUUCGGUUAAGAACA